CCGCGCCAAACAGUUCAAGCUAAACAACUGUCUUACUUAUCCAGGGGGCCUAGAUGUGGAACAAGGGAUAACCAGCCUGCAAAACACAGCUCUAGGGAAGCUGGCUGACUUCCCUGGAACUUGCCUUUCUCUUGCUUCAUUCUUCCAAGUGCUGUGAAUACAGUGUUCAGACUGGCACCAUCUGAGAGAAUGUCCUACAAUCAUCAAAAUGUGGACGCCAGCUCAGACGGACAAAGCGACUAGAAACCAAGACAGGGACCACAUCUCUGGGAGCAGAAGGAAGGAUGCUGGAGCUUGGGAUGGCUAAGGAGGAACAAGAGGAGAUCAUCAGAAGUGCUUGUGCUAUAGUGAAAAUCAGGCAUGAAGUCAGAGCUGAACUUAACAUACAUAGCCAAGAACAUCAAAUAUGUUCUAAUAAAGGCUAAUAAGAGAAAUAA